CCUACGGGUGGCAGCAGUGAGGAAUAUUGGUCAAUGGACGAGAGUCUGAACCAGCCAAGUAGCGUGAAGGAUGAAGGCCCGAUGGGUGGUAAACUUCUUGUAUAGGGGAAAAAAACAGGGUAUGCAUACCCUCUUGUAUGUACCAUAUGAAUAAGGAUCGGCUAACUCCGUGCCAGCAGCCGCGGUAAUACGGAGGAUCCGAGCGUUAUCCGGAUUUAUUGGGUUGAAAGGGAGCGUAGGUGGAUUGUUAAGUCAGUUGUGAAAGGUUGCGGCUCCACCGUAAAAUUGCAGUUGAAACGGGCAGUCUUGAGUACAGUAGAGGUGGGCGGAAUUCGUGGUGUAGCGGU
rnacentral:rRNA from 1 species